rnacentral:rRNA from 1 species
GGGACACACGUGUUACAAUGGCAGGUACAGAGGGGUGCUACCGGGUGACCGGAUGCCGAUCUCGAAAACCUGUCCCAGUUCGGACUGGAGUCUGCAACCCGACUCCACGAAGUUGGAUUCGCUAGUAAUCGCGCAUCAGCCAUGGCGCGGUGAAUACGUUCCCGGGCCUUGUACACACCGCCCGUCAAGCCAUGGGAGCCGGGGGCGCCUGAAGUCCGGGACCGCGAGGACCGGCCUAAGGCGAAACUGGUGACUGGGGCUAAGUCGUAACAAGGUACC